CGAAAGCCUGACGGAGCAACGCCGCGUGCGGGAGGAAGGCCUUAGGGUUGUAAACCGCUUUUCUCAGGGAAGAAGCUCUGACGGUACCUGAGGAAUCAGCCUCGGCUAACUCCGUGCCAGCAGCCGCGGUAAUACGGAGGAGGCAAGCGUUAUCCGGAAUUAUUGGGCGUAAAGCGUCCGCAGGUGGCGAUUCAAGUCUGCUGUCAAAGCACGGGGCUUAACUCCGUUAAGGCAGUGGAAACUGAAUGGCUAGAGUGCCGUAGGGGUAGAGGGAAUUCCCGGUGUAGCGGUGAAAUGCGUAGAGAUUGGGAAGAACACCGGUGGCGAAAGCGCUCUACUGGACCACACCUGACACUCAGAGGACGAAAGCUAGGGGAGCG
rnacentral:rRNA from 1 species